rnacentral:tRNA from 1 species
GGAAGGGUGUCCGAGUGGUUGAUGGUCUUGGUCUUGAAAACCAACGUGGCGUAAGUUACCGUGGGUUCGAAUCCCACCCCUUCCG